rnacentral:rRNA from 1 species
UACAGAGGGUGCAAGCGUUAAUCGGAAUUACUGGGCGUAAAGCGUGCGUAGACGGUUAUGUAAGUCGGGUGUGAAAGCCCUCGGCUUAACCGAGGAAGUGCAUUCGAAACUACUGGACUUGAAUACUGAAGAGGAUCGCGGAAUUCCCGGUGUAGAGGUGAAAUUCGUAGAUAUCGGGAGGAACACCAGUGGCGAAGGCGGCGAUCUGGGCAGAUAUUGACGCUGAGGUGCGAAAGCGUGGGGAGCAAACAGG